rnacentral:rRNA from 1 species
AUUGAACGCUGGCGGCAGGCCUAACACAUGCAAGUCGAACGGUAACAGGAAGCAGCUUGCUGCUUCGCUGACGAGUGGCGGACGGGUGAGUAAUGUCUGGGAAGCUGCCUGAUGGAGGGGGAUAACUACUGGAAACGGUAGCUAAUACCGCAUAAUGUCGCAAGACAAAAGAGGGGGACCUUCGGGCCUCUUGCCAUCGGAUGUGCCCAGAUGGGAUUAGCUUGUUGGUGGGGUAACGGCUCACCAAGGCGACGAUCCCUAGCUGGUCUGAGAGGAUGACCAGCCACACUCGAACUGAGACACGGUCCAGACUCCUACGGGAGGCAGCAGUGGGGAAUAUUGCACAAUGGGCGCAAGCCUGAUGCAGCCAUGCCGCGUGUAUGAAGAAGGCCUUCGGGUUGUAAAGUACUUUCAGCGGGGAGGAAGGGAGUAAAGUUAAUACCUUUGCUCAUUGACGUUACCCGCAGAAGAAGCACCGGCUAACUCCGUG